GGGCCCGCACAAGCGGUGGAGCAUGUGGUUCAAUUCGAAGCAACGCGAAGAACCUUACCAACCUUUGACAUGCCUCGUAUGGUCGCUAGAGAUAGCUUCCUUCCCGCAAGGGGCGAGAGCACAGGUGCUGCAUGGCUGUCGUCAGCUCGUGUCGUGAGAUGUUGGGUUAAGUCCCGCAACGAGCGCAACCCUCGCCCUUAGUUGCCAUCAUUCAGUUGGGCACUCUAAGGGGACUGCCGGUGAUAAGCCGCGAGGAAGGUGGGGAUGACGUCAAGUCCUCAUGGCCCUUACAGGUUGGGCUACACACGUGCUACAAUGGCGGUGACAGUGGGAAGCAAUGGAGCAAUCCUGCGCAAAUCUCAAAAAGCCGUCUCAGUUCGGAUUGUGCUCUGCAACUCGAGCACAUGAAGUUGGAAUCGCUAGUAAUCGCAGAUCAGCACGCUGCGGUGAAUACGUUCCCGGGCCUU
rnacentral:rRNA from 1 species